GUUGCAGUUAUUGAUGGAGCGAUUGUUGCGAGCUUCGUCCGGAGUGAGACAUGUGGUGGCGAAUACGCCGGGGAAUUUGUUGGCGAAGAUCCCGACUCCGACGCCCGUUCCGCAAGCAAGGAGGCCACGGGUCUCCACGGAGGGGGAGGUGGUGGCGGAAGAGACUCGACGGCCGACUUCAGCACCGAUGUUGUAGUAGGAGGUGAUUCCGAGAUCUUCGACUUCUAUGUUGUGGGAGCGGAGGUGGGAUACCAUGGCGUCUUUUAGCUCGGCGCCGAAAGAAUCAGCUCCAGCAAUGACUUUGAGGGGGGAAGACGCGGUGGCGGAAUCGGCCAUGAGGCGGCUGUGGAAGGUAGGGAGUAACUAAAGUGAGAUUAAGAAGAAAGUUGAGGAAAUUAAGGGCUAUUACCAAUAGACCUCACUUCAAAUAGAUAGACCCUUUAAUGAAUUUAUGGCAUUUUCUUAAAAAAUAAUUUUAUCUGAUUCAUAUUCAACUACAAAUAUUAAAUAUCCACGUGUACAAGAAAC
rnacentral:lncRNA from 1 species